AAAUGCAGUUAGCCAUCUCCUUGGCAAGGGUUUUACCAAUCUUGGGAUAUUUCAAUGAGUGUAAGGAGUUAGAGGAAACUGUGGCAUCCCAAGGGUAUUCUGAUGUAUAAAGACUGAUGUAAUAAUAUUGUUACACGCAAACUCCCAAAAGAGAGCAAUUUGUUGCGUGGUGGAGAUGGCAGAGUGUAGAACAGACCUAUUCCCAACUAACUUACACUGCAGCAGAAAUGUCCACAACUCUUUUGGCCAAUUCAAGAUUCAAGAUUCUUGAUUUGUCACAUGUAGUUAUAGCUGGUACAACAUACAGUGAAAUGUGUUUCCCUGGCUGAAAAAAGUACUCUCCGACUGUGCUAGACAUACCAAAAAAUGAGAGUUUCAGCAAAAGGCGGCACCAGGGCAAUAUUCUCACUGACUGAAAACGUGGACCGCAGCUGCCCUCGCAUAUCUGGACUCGGCGAAGGUGGUGGGGGAGCAAGGAAGGCAGGGGCAUCGGGGUCAGCGGAAGGCCACUGAGGCUGGGAACGAGGUGGUCAGGCUCGAACCUGCGUGAAGGGAGUAUUGGCACGCUCCUGCUCUGGAGCAGAACAAGCCAGGACAAACGGGCACAUUGCAG